CACGUAGGGUGCGAGCGUUGUCCGGAAUUAUUGGGCGUAAAGCGCGCGCAGGCGGUCUUCCAAGUCAGUGGUGAAAGCCCGGAGCUCAACUCCGGAACUGCCAUUGAAACCGUGAGACUUGAGGAUGAGAGAGGUGAGUGGAAUUCCCAGUGUAGAGGUGAAAUUCGUAGAUAUUGGGAAGAACACCGGUGGCGAAGGCGGCUCACUGGCUCAUUUCUGACGCUCAGGCGCGACAGCGUGGGGAUCAAACAGG
rnacentral:rRNA from 1 species